rnacentral:rRNA from 1 species
GAUGAACGCUGGCGGCGUGCCUAAUACAUGCAAGUCGAGCGAACGGACGAGAAGCUUGCUUCUCUGAUGUUAGCGGCGGACGGGUGAGUAACACGUGGAUAACCUACCUAUAAGACUGGGAUAACUUCGGGAAACCGGAGCUAAUACCGGAUGAUAUUUUGAACCGCAUGGUUCAAAAGUAAAAGACGGUCUUGCUGUCACUUAUAGAUGGAUCCGCGCUGCAUUAGCUAGUUGGUAAGGUAACGGCUUACCAAGGCAACGAUGCAUAGCCGACCGGAGAGGGUGAUCGGCCACCCUGGAACGGAGACACGGUCCAGACUCCUACGGGAGGCAGCAGUAGGGAAUCUUCCGCAAUGGGCGAAAGCCUGACGGAGCAACGCCGCGUGAGUGAUGAAGGUCUUCGGAGCGUAAAACUCUGUUAUUAGGGAAGAACAGAUGUGUAAGUAACUGUGCACAUCUUGACGGUACCUAAUCAGAAAGCCACGGCUAACUACGUG